rnacentral:tRNA from 1 species
GGCGACAUAGCCAAGUGGUAAGGCAGGGGACUGCAAAUCCCCCAUCCCCGGUUCAAAUCCGGGUGUCGCCUCCA